GGUUAAAUAAUUUAGAGGGGAUAGUUGCUUAGAGAACAUAAACUAAAGGAAUGAUCAGAACCUUUAUGAAGCAAUAUAUAAAUAAUUUCUUUCAAGCAAUCUGCCUUAUUAUUCUAUUAGUGCAGCGUAGUUUUGCUCAGAUUUGAUUUGCUUUCAGCCAAUCAGCAUUCUCCUAUUCGGUAUUCCAAUCAGCUAUAAUUCAGCCAGCAUUAUGACAGUUUAAGAACCAGCUUUAGAGCUUAAUAUGCUGGUGUUUCAGUACCACGCAGCAGUAAAAGCUGGUGCCCUAAUCCGGCGAUGGACCUGCUCAAGUGAAUUGCUAGACGCCAAUACACCAAGCAGGUGGCUGUGCUCUUAAUUAAGUGAAGAACAUCCUCCCUGAGGGGCUGGGAUCAAUUAGAUCAGCCUGUCUCUUACAACUGCAGCCACUUUUUUUUUUUUUUCCACUGGAGGCUGAGUGAGUCUCUGAUUGUGGGGGAGGGUACAGUGCAAGCUUUCAGGAAUUUCUGAGAAAUGAGCUAUUCCCAGUGCUAUGUCUUCUGAAUUCCAUUUAGAAUUGUGUGUGUGUACACGCACGUGUGUCUUUUUUCUUUUAAGGGAAAAAUGCCAGAGGAUGGACUGUAGCGGAGGGAGAAUUCUCCUGAUAUCCGAAGAGUAUCUUAAUGCAUGCAGAGAUCUGUAAGAACCAUGGUGAAGAGAGAUGAAGCAGUUUGCCUGAAGCCAUGCAGGAAGUUGGAGACAAAACUGUGACCAGAAGCUGCCUCUGAAGCUGCCAUGCCCACAUCUUUCCGUCA
rnacentral:lncRNA from 1 species